rnacentral:rRNA from 1 species
UACAGAGACUGCAAGCGUUAUUCGGAAUUACUGGGCGUAAAGCGUGCGCAGGCGGUUUUGUAAGCCAGAUGUGAAAUCCCCGGGCUUAACCUGGGAAUGGCAUUUGGGACUGCAAGGCUCGAGUGCGGCAGAGGAGACUGGAAUUCCUGGUGUAGCAGUGAAAUGCGUAGAUAUCAGGAGGAACACCGAUGGCGAAGGCAGGUCUCUGGGCUGACACUGACGCUCAUGCACGAAAGCGUGGGGAGCAAACAGG